rnacentral:rRNA from 1 species
UACGAAGGGAGCAAGCGUUGUUCGGAAUUACUGGGCGUAAAGGAUGCGUAGGUGGUUUGUUAAGUUGGAAGUGAAAGCCCCGGGCUUAACCCAGGAAUUGCUUUCAAGACUGGCAGACUAGAGUAUGGAAGAGGUUGGUGGAAUUCCCAGUGUAGAGGUGAAAUUCGUAGAUAUUGGGAAGAACAUCCGUGGCGAAGGCGGCCAACUGGUCCAUUACUGACACUGAGGCAUGACAGCGUGGGGAGCAAACAGGAUUAGAUACCCUGGUAGUCCACGCCGUAAACGAUGAGAGCUAAACGUUGGGAUGUUUACAUCUCAGUGUUGACGCUAACGCAUGAAGCUCUCCGCCUGGGGAGUACGGUCGCAAGAUUAAA